rnacentral:rRNA from 1 species
ACGGAGGGUGCAAGCGUUAUUCGGAAUUACUGGGCGUAAAGCGCGUGUAGGCGGUCCUGCAAGUCUGAGGUGAAAGCCCCGGGCUUAACCCGGGAAGUGCAUUUGAUACUGUGGGACUUGAGGACAGGAGAGGAUGGGGGAAUUCCCGGUGUAGCGGUGAAAUGCGUAGAGAUCGGGAGGAACAUCAGAGGCGAAGGCGGCCAUCUGGACGGUACCUGACGCUGAGACUCGAAAGCGUGGGGAGCAAACAG